AAUUCUGUUUUAGAUCGUGUAUACACUGCAGAAGAAUGGUGUGAAAAAAGUAAAAAUACAUUUUGUCAUCAUUAAGAAUUUUUAAUCUAUAAUUUUAAUUUUAUAUACGUUCGGGUCUAUACAAAAUAAAAUUAAAAAGAUAAAUAAGGUAAUUAGAAUCAUUUAGAAUAAAUAACAAUAGCGUCUAUUCAAAUAGGUUUUCUGUAAAGCCUUGCACUAAAUCUACUGUGGCAACCCGACAAAGUUUAUAGUUUGGUCGGAAAAAUUGAUUUCGUUAUCUUAUUGAAAUUCAAGGGUAAAUUGAAUAUUUGUAUUGAUUUUAUUGAGGCUAUGCACAAAACUAUCAGCUUAUAUAUCAGUUUUAAAUAAAAUAAACGUGUCAUCAACUCAUCUGAAAUACCUCGAAAUAAAAUAUUUAUAUUGCUUAUUAUUUAGAAUAUUAUGCGUUUCAUAUUUUUCAUACAUAAUUUCGAAGCACUUAAUAGAAAAAUGCAAAAAUUAAAAUACAUUUAUUUUGUAUGGAUAAUAUUAUAAUAAUAAUAAUUUAAAUUGGUUAUUGUUAUUUCAAUUUCAUUGACUUCUGGAUUCAGUUGAUGGUGGUUGUAUAGGUAAGUCAAUGUAAAUUAUUGCAAUAUAUAAAUAUUAUACUGUGCAAUAAUCAGUAGCGGAUACAAGGGGGGGGGGAUGCUGGAGAGCUCGUCCCCCCAAUAGCUUUAUUAUAUUAGUAAUUGUAAUAAUAUGAGUUAAUAAUGAUUAUAAAUUAUCGUUUAAAUUGCAGUUAGACCAAUUAUUACGAUAGUUGAUAAUUUUAAUACUUAAUUGUAAUCAUAUCUGUAUUUUAUAUAUAGUGUUUUUUAUUCAAAAUUUACAAUUUCCCUCCUCCCCCUCUCCAAAAACAAAACCUACAACCAUGACUGACAAUAAUAUUAUGUAUAUUCUAAUCAUUUAGUUUAAAUAAUUUAAAUUGGUGAAAAAUGUAAAUUUAUGAACGAUUACAUUAAACAAAGUUGUGUUGAGUAAAUAACUAAAAACAAAAAAUAUUUUUUUUUUUCUAAAUAAUAGCUUAUAUUGUAUAUAACUGUGCUAAUUUUUGUAGGUCAAACAUUUUAAAGCUAGAAUACAUACAAGUAUUUAAUUUAUAUCUAAUAUAUAAACCACAACUACCGAAAUACAAUUCAAAUAAGUUAUUAAAAUUUGGAACAAUAUUUCUGGUAGAAAAGAAAAUUUAAAGAAAUGAAACUGUCAAUACCCUACAUUUUUCAAUUUUCAAUUUAUAUCUUUUUCUGAUUUUCUAAAUUUUAUUGAAAAUUGCUUGAAAAGUCAAAAAAUUAAUUACUUACAUUUAGGUUAAAUGUAUAGGUACAAUAACUAGUACUGUUUGGACGUUCAGUGACCAAUAAUAUCACCAUAUUACAACACAAUCACAGUUAACAUGUAAACUCAAAACGAAUUUAUAAUUUGUUAUAAUGUGCACGCAUGGGCUAUUUGUAGCAAAAUGAAAUGCAUGUGUGUGAAUAAAAACAAUUGAGAUGUAAUCAAGGAUGGAAUACUUUUUAAAUUUUUUUCGUUUUAGUUUUCGUUUAUCAAUAAAAAAAUAUCGUUUUUGGUUUACAUUUUUAAAUAUUUUUGAGCAAUACGUUUUUAAUAAACGUUUUAUUUUUUUUUUAUCUGAAGUUUAAACUGUUUAACUAUAAAUAAACAUAAAACAAAUAAAUAAAUAUAGGAGAAAUAUUUAAAUAUUUUUAAUUUUAUAAUAUUUAUUACGAUUAUUUAAAAUAAUAAUAUUAAUAAUUAUUUGUUAACAAUUUGUUAUUUUUGUAACAUAAAAAAAUUAAUUAGGAAUAACAUGUUAGUUUAUAUCACAUAAGUUUGGAUUACUAAAACUAUAACACUAUACAUCCAAAUGACGCAUUUAUUAAUUUAUUUAUUCAAAUAAAUUAAUCAUACUCAAAGUUCCGAUAAAAUUCAAAUAUGGUUUUAUUUUUAAAAAUUAUCAUAACAGACUAAAAUAUGUGAGAUAUUUAAAACUAUUCCAUAUUCUAUAAUUUAUAUUUACUCAAAUAAUUAAAUUUAUCAAUUCAAGUCUUGUAUUGUAAUUAAAACAUAAUAUAAUGUCAGUAUUAGGAAACAUACAUAACUCUAAUAUAUAACAUCCUAAAAUGAUCUAAAUCGGAUUGUCUUUCAGAAACAUUAAGAAGGGAAGGAUACAUAAUUGAGGAUUGUAAGUUUAUAAUGUUAAAAUAAAUAUAAUCAAUAAGUUAAGAUUUAAAUUACAUCUAGUUGGAUUUGAAUUCACACAGUUUAAAAAAUGGUGACUUUUUUUUAAUCGAGCUUAAUCCAGUGGUGUUUAUAAUUUUGUGAUUGGUGAAUAAAAGCAAAAAUAUCAAAUAUUAUUAGUAGACAUAGGACAACAUACCACAGAUAAUGUACAAUUGUGUUUUUGAAACCAAAUGUUGAUAAAACUAACAUCUAUAAACAACGAUUACAUAACAAUUGUUUCUCCAUUUCAUCAGCUGAGUUUUAACUAGGCAGUACUAACUGUAUAGUUUAAAUGUUAAAAUUCAAAUUAUAUGCUACUUUUUGACAGUUAACUUUUAACUUAGUUAAUAAAAAAAACAAACAUCAAUAGUUUUUAAUGUUUGUUAUUUUUUAUAGCAAUAAAUGUUAGCCUUAACAAAAGUAUAUUGAAUUCAUUUUUCGACAACAAUAAUUAUGAUUAUUUUAUUUGAAGCGUGUCCCAUGCAGUAAAAUGCAAUAUGAUGUUAUGAUUUUAAUAUUUAAUAUUUUUUUUAGAAACAUAAAAUUAAAAAUAAAAAUUUGUUUAAAAAAUUCAAGACACCAACAUUUUUAGAUUUUAUAAGUUUAUUUUUCAAUAGCAUAUUUGUUUUACAAAUAUUUACUAAUGAUAGAAAGUUAAUUUAAUAUAAUAUUUGAUAACUUCAAAAAUUACAGUUUUAGAUUCUUAGUACAGCAGAGAAUAUAUUGGAUUUACAAAGAUGUUUAUUUUUGUUAAGAUUUUUGAAGUGAUUGUUAAAAUUUUCGAGUUGUUUUCCCAAUAAAAAGGAAAGAGUGAGAAAAAACGAGAAAAUGUACAAAAUAUAUUAGUAAAAUAUUACGGUUUAUUUUCUGCGAACAACUUUUCUACCAGCAAUUUUUCUCCGGUUUAUAAUUAUAGCACUUCUUUUGAAAGGAAAUCGGACUGGAAAGAUACUUUAGGGACAUUAUUUUUCGAUAUUUCUAAGACUUUUCUCAGAAAAUGUGAAAAACUGGGGAUCUUUAAAAGAUCAAGAGUGUAGUUUAAUAAAUUUACGAAGAGAAAUAAUCACGGUUCGUUAACAAAUAACAAAUGGCGCAAAAUUUAACGUUGAUAUAAAUAGGACUGUACAAAUAAAAGAAAUUAGUAAUACACGCAGAGUUAAGAAGACAAUAAUUAUUUUGCCAUCAAAACGUAAGGAAAAAAAAUUAGCGGCAAAUCUGAAAUGUGUACGUUCAUUAAUGGCAAUAUAAUGGACGAAUUGUAUUUAAACGUUACACAGGGGUAAGUAGACGAUUGUAAGAUAACAUAGAUUUAAUAUCACUCAUACCUUCCGUAUUCAAAUACGGAAUUCUCGAAAAACGAUCUGAUUAGAUAUUUAUUCAAAAUUUAAACAUAUUAAAGAGAAUACUAAAUGAAUUUGUCAAAUCUCCUUACGACAUUCUGUAUAGGGUGUCUUACAGAUUUAUCCGUUUACCAAUAACUUUGUCAAUAAACAUUUUAUUUCCAUUUUUUUUUUUUUUUAAUUGGAUUUUAUGCCAAGGGCAUACAAAUUUGCAGGUAGAAAAAAUAAAUUUUUAUAUUGACCUCUUAAAUCACGAAAAAAAAAAAAUACUUUUUAUUACCAACCAUACUUACUACCAUCAAUAUGACACUAAACACCAAAAUUUAAGUAUCUUCAAUCAUAAGUUAUAUUAAAGAAACUAAAAUAUUUUUCAAGGGAGAAAUCUCAUUUGAAUGUGGUUAUGUGGACAACUUUAACUAUUUAGUAAUAUUAAACUGUUAUGUAGGCAUAUUCAUUGGCACAUAUUUAGGGGUGCUGAGCACACCUAAAUCUAAAAUUAGCACCGCCAGAUUGAGCUAAAUAAAAAAUAUACAAAGGUGGCCAAAAGUAUAAUAUUUAAAUAGUACUCAAAUAUGAGAUUAGUAAUUAUUACUAUACUAUUGUGUAUUAAUUUAUAUUAUAUAAUAAAAUAAUAAAGUAAAACAAAAUUACUAAAAUGAUUAAUACUCGUAAAUAAAUAUAUAAAUAAAAAAAAAUGUAUGCAUAAAAAUAAAAAAAUACGUCCUAGGAUAACGAAAAUGGGUGCAGCCUCUGUUAUAGGUAAUUUAAUGUGUACCUGUAAACAACAAUAAACCAUUAAUAACGAAAAAACGAUUCUGUGCGCAGUUCAGCUGAUAGUGAUGCUUUGUCAACAAUAUAUAUGUAUAUUAAAAAAGUACCAUCUAGACAACAUUCCCUUUCAGAAAUGGUGUCGUGCGUAAAAAUCUGAGCAAGAUUUCUGGUAGAAUUUUUGUCCAAAGUAUAAAAAAAAUUACCAUUUUAGUAAAAUCAAUACAUUAUUCGCUACUCGCAGAAUCUAAAAAUAAAUAAAUGAAUAAAUGCGUCGCCUGGAGUGUUAUGAUAAGUGUUACUGUGAUACCGUGUUACACGGUAAGUUUAUGUUAAUUGUUUUCAUAUUUUUAAGGAGGUAAUUAUCCCGGGUCGGUUAUUUAUUAGGCAAAUUAAAUGUUUAGGUAAUAUAGAAUUUUAUUUUGAAAUGUCGAAUAGGUUGGAGAGUGGCGGGCAAAGCCAUCCACGUGAUACCUUAUAGCUUAUCGUAAAUAAUUUUAGCACUCCUGUUUUAGUCCUGUGCCAAUGAGUAUUUUAGUAGUCAAGUAUGGCCAUAUGAUGUCAAACAAAGCUCUUCUUAUACUACAGUUAAAAUCAAACUUUUUGCCAUCACGUUCAAAGAAAUGCUUGGAAAUUUAACAAGAGGUUCAAUUUAUAUUUUACUUAGUGGUCAAAAAGAAAAAAGUUGCAUAUGAAUUUUAAUAUUAAAUUUUACUAUUUAUAAAUUAUUAUAAUAAUUACAAUUAUUUCGGCCAAAAAUCCAAAUAUACACUUUUAGGCUAUCCCUAUAGCAUCGUAUCGCUUGAUGAUAAUGAUUUGUGUGUUAUUGUUCUGCUUCACCUGUAUCCUAACUAUUUGAGGUCAGCCGUUCUCGUUCAAAAAUUUCGUUUGACUCGAUGUCCCACAUCGUCUUCAUAUUAUUCUCAGUCGCAUUCAAACACUUUUUUUCGACCAUACCCUCCUCAUUGUUCCUUUUGCGGAUAUUUCUAUCACAAUUCUUACUAUUUCUGAUUUUUUUUUCUCCUCAUGAUAGUCAUCUCAAUCUAUUUUCUUUCAUUUUCUCCACUAUCAAAAAUACGCCUAAGUUAUACUUUCUACCUCUUAUGUACCCUCUUAAUAGUAUCUUAUUCCAUAGCUUCACUCAUCCACUUAAGUAUUUUAACUGCUUCACUCUUCUCUAUUCUAUAUUUUAUUGUCUACAACCCAAUAAUCCGAAUCUUACAUCAUAGUCAGUCUCUUUUAUAACUUUCCUAACCUGUCUUAUUAGAAUCCUUUUGUCCCAUAAGACCAGUGACACAUCUCUAUACUCUAUUCAAUCACACUUAAACUUAUAUUACACAUGUACAUGAAAUUCACCGUAAUUUUGUACAAAAUAUUUUAGGUAUUCAAAACUGUCAACCUCACCUAUUCGUUUGAGCUUAUUGGCAUUAGCUAUCUUGCCCUGUCACUCUCAAUUUAUAUUCUGAAUACUCAGUUUUACUUAACAUUGACUACGUGAAUUAUAAAUUAUAAAUGUAUUUAAAAUUAACCGAAAAAAAAAUAUAUUUUCAUGAAUGUAUUGUCCAAUUAUUGAAGAUUUUAACAAACAUUAAUUCGGAUUUUUGACAAGACGUAAUUGUAUUUGUUUUUUCUUUAGAUGCAAGUGAUGAAAUUCUAAAGGUCCCGGGCAAUCUAGACAAACUUGUAUUCAAAAAUUUUAAUUUCGCUCGUACCGAAAAGAAUGAAACUAGUAAGUGAAAAUUAAUUUUAAACAAUACUGACUGAAUUAUUACUUGAAAUAUAUUUUAAUAAUUGUAUUAAAUUACCUAGUUAUGACCAUACAUAAAUUUAAUAAUUCCUAAAGGGUUAAUACAUCCAUACCGUACUGAUAUUAUAAAAUGUGAAAGUGGAUAUUAUUUUUUGUAUUUAUGGCUCAUUUAUUAUUACGUUUUAUAAUAAUAUGGAACUUAAUGACUUCAAAUUAUUUAUAUACACCCGGGAUAAGACUGACUAGUUAUACAUGUCAAUUUCGAAUUGUUCAAAGAAGGUUUAGGGAGUGAAAGAUAGUUAACUCAUUAAUAUUGAACAUCAAUUUCAACUAAACCUGGUGCGUAUGUAAAUUAUGAUUUAGAAAUGAUACGGAAACAUGUAAAAUUUCAUUUGUUUAAUUUGUUUGUAUUUAAUUUAAAUAUAUUAAUAAUCUAUCAUACUCUUGGGUACGCAGGGUAAAAUAUUUAUAGAUCAAAUCUGGUUUCAUACAGAUGGUUAACAGAUUAUGUAACACAUAAGUGUUAAGGCACUGAAAUAUGUGCGUUUGUCUAUCAGUCAAUAAUUACAGCCCAUUCUGGUUGGAUUCACUAUGUUAGUUAACUGAUUAUGUCAAGUUCGUAUCUGUGAAUAAGGCUAGGUAAGAGGACUCACUUGAUGCUAUUUCGUUUCGUUUCAUAUAAAACUCGCAGUAUUGUAACGUUAAAAGAUUAUUCUGGAACACACUACUAACAGGGGGGACCACGUGAAUGUAUAGCAUUAGUCCCCCCCAUAUUUGAUAUUGAAAUUAGAUAAUGGAUUAUAUUAAAGUACACAAUUAUUUAAUUGUUUUAUAUUUUAUGAUGUAAUAUUUUUAUUUUACAGGUUAUGAGUAUAUAAAUGUUCAAAGUAUGUUAACAGAAAUAAUACAUUAUAUUUGUUUUAAAUAAUUAUAAGUUAUUUCAUUUUUCUUCAGAUAAUUUGAGUGUGAAUAAUUUAUUACUAUAAACAUAGUUGUCAAAAGUUUUUAAGAGGGAGGUACAAAACUCGCAAAAUUAGAAUGUCUAUAAAUUGCUCAAAAAUUGUAACACGUAAAGAAACACAAAUAUAGGUUAUCUAUCACAAUCUCAAGUCUCUACGAAUAUUUUUAACUGAAUUAUAAAAAAAAUCAAAAUUAAAAAUAAUAAAAACAUUAUUUUUGUAAAUUUUCUUACGUUUUAUACUGGGUUUUCACGAUAUUAUGAAAACUGCUUGGAAAAUCAAAAAAUGAUCUUCCUGAAGUACCAUCUAAUAAAUAUGACAAUAUUUUCUUUCGAAAAAUAUAAUACACUUACAUAUUGAAGCAAGAUUUCUGGUAUACAUUUUUGUCACAACAAAAAAAAAAAAUCAUUUUAAAUACAAUAGUUACAUCCUUCACCACACUCAGAGUCUAAAAUUUUAACUAAAGUAAUCACUUCCAAUUUUGAUUCUUUGCUUAAUUGAUUGUUUCCACUUAGUUUCCCAUAAUUCUAUCUCACCCUUAAGAGAAUAUAAUUAUUGACAUUUAUAAUAGACAUUUAGAAUAGUUGCAUUCUUGUUUCAAUCAAAGUAAUUCCAAGAUCCGUAAUCAUCUUUAUGGCAUUUAGAACCAGUUACAUUUGUACUUAUUUGUGCUUAAAAAUUAUGGAUAAUUUGAAUUAAAAAACAGAACAUCACACUGCUUACGGGGAGGGUGGCGAUCGUAUCCCUCGCUCCCCUCUUUUUUACGUUGAAAAGCCCAAACUUGAAAAUGUGUUACAAUGAACAUGUAUAAUAAAAUAAAUCACAAAAAGGUUAUUGUGAGCCGCCCAUCUCCUAAAAGUAAUAAAAAAACUAUCUAAUUUUAAGAUUGUAUGAAAAGACAUAAAGAAAAUAGACUAAGAAUAAAUUUAAUGAAACGGUCAAAAAUAGAGAUUGACAAUAAAAAGUUUUUUUGACAAGUUCUUGACAAGUUUGCCUUGAAAAUCAUAUCCACCCACAAAAAAAUGAAUAGCCUCAAUGAUCAUACUAAGAAGCAUUCCACAUUAUAACUGAACAAUAUAACAUCGUAAUAUUUAAUAAGCAACCAUUUUGAGAUUGCCAUAACAAAUUAUGUUAAAGUCAUAAUAAAUACAUAAUAAAUAAUAACAAUAAUCAAUAAAUAAACAAUAAUCAACAUAAUAAAUCAAAUUAAAUUGUUAUUAUGCAGGGGUUAUUUUAAACUAUUAUAAUAUUUUGAUUUUUAGACAAAUCCAUCAAAGGAUUUAAAAGUAAGUUGAUUCAUAUUAAAAUUGACAUGAGUUGCGCUCACAUUACUUACGAGUAUGUUUGAUUUUAUUUAAAAUAGUACAAGUUAAAAUUAUAAAUUAUUACAUUGUAUAUUGUUUUUAGAUUUUCGUGAGUUGUAUAGAGAUUAUUUGAAAAGUUAGUUAAUUACUAUUUUUUUCAUUUUUUUUUAAUUAAGUGACCCAAAAAUUCUGUCUCUCUCGGAAAAAUACAUUAAUAUAUUAAUUUAUAAAUUUAUUGUAUCGUUAAAUAUAUUACAAUCUACACAUGAAUCAAGAUCGAUAGGUAAACUUACCAUUAUAGUGAAAAUAAUAGACUUGUCUAACCCUGAGAGCUUAUCCUUUCAAUGGUGAUCAAACGAGGGGCUAAUAUAUCUUUCAAAACCUCGUUCCCAUGUAUGUGAUGUUGGAAUGAAUGUUCCACAUACAUGAUACCCAUGUAUGUGAUGUGACAUGUGAUAAGUAACAUGUAUCACAUGUAUAUCAUACUUCAACCAAGCACCUCUAACAACCUUUUUUUAGACUUAUUAGACGUUGUUUGAAAGUUGUUAAAAUUUGUAUUACGUAUUAAUCAACAUUCUUUGAAUUCUUUAGUAGUUGAAUUUCGGAAACCCAUUUUCGAGUGACAAGCAUCCGAAUUUGUAUGUAAACUUUCAAACCUAUAUAUGCGAUACAUUCGGCUGUAUAUCAUAUACAAACCUAUACCAAACCAAUACAAAUCUUCAUGUUUUUAUACUUAUAAAAGAAAAUUUCAAUAUUUAAAAAAAAUUAAAAUUAGCCCCCCAUGACAAAAUCAUUUGACAGCCACAUUUUAACAUCUUUCUAAGUAACGUGUACAUUAUUUCACGGAUUCUGGUUCUACAAACAUAUAAUCUUAUAGCUAAUAUUUAAGUAAGAAAUUCAAAUAAUAAUUUUCUUAUGACAUUUUAGAUAUGCCCGAAUAUAGUAAGUAUCAUUAUUGUUACAUGAUUAAUUAAUAUACUUGAUAUGAGCCAAUAUUUGCAUUUGGCAUUGGCAUUGGCAUUUGUAUAAACACAGUUCCUUCUGUGUGUGAAUUGUAUUGCUUUAGAUUCUGGGUGGAGUGAAAAGAGCUUAUAGUUUUAUAAAGAUAUUUAUUAUUAUUAUUUUUUUUUUUUUUAUCUAUGAACAACUUCUUACUUCGAUUUAGAUAAAAAAAAUAUAAUGACUAUAAAAGAAUGGUGUACUUAUA